rnacentral:rRNA from 1 species
GACGAACGCUGGCGGCGUGCUUAACACAUGCAAGUCGAACGAAGUGGCGAACGGGUGAGUAAUACGUGGGUAACCUGCCCUCCUUUUUGGGAUAAGCCUUGGAAACGGGGUCUAAUACCGAAUAAAGGGGGAUAGGCUCGCGGCCUAUCAGCUUGUUGGUGGGGUGAUGGCCUACCAAGGCGGUGACGGGUAGCAGGCCUGAGAGGUGGACCGGCCACAUUGGGACUGAGAUACUGGCCAGACUCCUGCGGUAGGCAGCAGUGGGGGAGAUUGCACAAUGGAGGGAGCUCUGAUGCAGCGGCGCCGCGUGAACGAAGAAGGCUGUCGAGUGGUAAAGUUCUUUCGGUACCAUAAGAAAAAGCCCCGGCAAACUACGUGCCAGCAGCCGCGGUAUAC